rnacentral:rRNA from 1 species
GUUUUAGGCGCAUUAGCUCUAGAGCACAUAAGCACUCCAUAGUUAAGUGUGCUCAGGUGAAAGUAUUACUCGACGGGUGACCUCCUGAGAAAUCUCCCUUGGAGAAAUC